rnacentral:rRNA from 1 species
UACGGAGGGUGCAAGCGUUGCUCGGAAUUAUUGGGCGUAAAGGGUAGGUAGGUGGUCUUAUUUGUCUGGGGUGAAAGCCUUGAGCUUAACUCAAGAAGUGCCCCAGAAACGGUGAGACUAGAGUCCUGGAGAGGGUCGUGGAAUUCCCGGUGUAGCGGUGAAAUGCGUAGAGAUCGGGAGGAACACCAGAGGCGAAGGCGGCGACCUGGACAGGUACUGACACUCAACUACGAAAGCGCGGGGAGCAAACAGG